CAGCCAACUUUAGUAUUAUUUUUACAGAUGAAGAUUAUAAAGUACAGUAUUCAAAUCCGUCUGAUGAAAUAUAUAAACGAUUCGAAGACAAAAUUAAAACUGCAAUAGAAAACCUUUAUAACAAGUUCAAUAUAACUGUAUCUUUCAACUUGAAGUUGAAUUCCAUCAAAAACGGAACAGAUUAUCAAACGAAACCUUAAUCGAUUUAAUAAAAAGAUCUCAGGCAUGUUUAUA
rnacentral:lncRNA from 1 species